GACGAACGCUGGCGGCGUGCUUAACACAUGCAAGUCGAACGAGAUCCAUGUUGUAGCAAUACUUCGGAAGAUCUAGUGGCGAACGGGUGAGGAACACGUGAGGAACCUGCCCCGGACUUCGGGAUAACAGUUGGAAACGAUUGCUAAUACCGAAUACCUCUGCGAAGUGGCAUCACUUUGCAAAGAAAGAAUUUCGGUCCGGGAGGGUCUCGCGGCCUAGCAGCUAGUUGGUGGGGUAACGGCCUACCAAGGCAUCGACGGGUAGCUGGUCUGAGAGGAUGAUCCGGCACACUGGGACUGAGACACGGCCCAGACUCCUGCGGGAGGCAGCAGUGGAGAAUCUUGUGCAAUGGGCGAAAGCCUGACACAGCAACGCCGCGUGCGGGAAGAAGGCCUUCUGGUCGUAAACCGCUUUCAGCAGGAACGAAAAUGACGGUACCUGCAGAAGAAGGUGCGGCCAACUACGUGCCAGCAGCCGCCGUAA
rnacentral:rRNA from 1 species